UCUAGAGUUUGGAAUCUGGCUCAGGAUGAACGCUGGCGGCGUGCCUAAUACAUGCAAGUCGAACGAGUUCUCGUUGAUGAUCGGUGCUUGCACCGAGAUUCAACAUGGAACGAGUGGCGGACGGGUGAGUAACACGUGGGUAACCUGCCCUUAAGUGGGGGAUAACAUUUGGAAACAGAUGCUAAUACCGCAUAGAUCCAAGAACCGCAUGGUUCUUGGCUGAAAGAUGGCGUAAGCUAUCGCUUUUGGAUGGACCCGCGGCGUAUUAGCUAGUUGGUGAGGUAAUGGCUCACCAAGGCGAUGAUACGUAGCCGAACUGAGAGGUUGAUCGGCCACAUUGGGACUGAGACACGGCCCAAACUCCUACGGGAGGCAGCAGUAGGGAAUCUUCCACAAUGGACGCAAGUCUGAUGGAGCAACGCCGCGUGAGUGAAGAAGGCUUUCGGGUCGUAAAACUCUGUUGUUGGAGAAGAAUGGUCGGCAGAGUAACUGUUGUCGGCGUGACGGUAUCCAACCAGAAAGCCACGGCUAACUACGUGCCAGCACCCGCGGUAAA
rnacentral:rRNA from 1 species